rnacentral:rRNA from 1 species
UACAGAGGCCUCGAGCGUUAGGCGGAAUCACUGGGCUUAAAGCGUGUGUAGGCGGAUGCCUAAGUACCUUGUGAAAUCCCCCGGCUCAACCGGGGAACUGCUGGGUAUACUGGGUGUCUUGGGUCAUCUAGGGGCUGCCGGAACAAAUGGUGGAGCGGUGAAAUGCGUAGAUAUCAUUUGGAACGCCAACGGCGAAAGCAGGCAGCUGGGGAUGCACCGACGCUGAGACACGAAAGCCAGGGGAGCGAACGGG